rnacentral:rRNA from 1 species
UACGUAGGGUGCAAGCGUUGUCCGGAAUUAUUGGGCGUAAAGAGCUCGUAGGCGGUCUGUCACGUCGGCUGUGAAAUCCCGAGGCUCAACCUCGGGUCUGCAGUCGAUACGGGCAAACUAGAGUAUUGCAGGGGAGACUGGAAUUCCUGGUGUAGCGGUGGAAUGCGCAGAUAUCAGGAGGAACACCGGUGGCGAAGGCGGGUCUCUGGGCCGUUACUGACGCUGAGGAGCGAAAGCGUGGGGAGCGAACAGG